CAGCCGUAAACUAUGCGCGUUAGGUGUAUCGGUGACCACGAGUUACCGAGGCGCCGAAGGGAAACCGUGAAACGUGCCGCCUGGGAAGUACGGUCGCAAGGCUGAAACUUAAAGGAAUUGGCGGGGGAGCACCACAACAGGUGGAGCCUGCGGUUUAAUUGGACUCAACGCCGGGAAGCUCACCGGAUAGGACAGCAGAAUGAUUGCCGGGCUGAAGACCCUGCAUGACUAGCUGAGAGGAGGUGCAUGGCGUCAGUGACU
rnacentral:rRNA from 1 species